rnacentral:rRNA from 1 species
GGUGAACGCUGGCGGCGUGCCUAACACAUGCAAGUCGAGCGGUGCAGUUUGAAGCUUCGGUGGAAAGCUGCAUAGCGGCGGACGGGUGAGGAAAACGUAGGAACGUGCCCCUUGGAGUUGGAUAGCCACGGGAAACUGUGGGUAAACCGACAUAGACUCGAGAGAGUAAAGGCCGAAAGGCGCCAAGGGAGCGGCCUGCGGCCCAUCAGGUAGUUGGUAGUGUAAAGGACUACCAAGCCGACGACGGGUAGCCGGUCUGAGAGGAUGGCCGGCCACAAGGGCACUGAGAGACGGGCCCUACUCCUACGGGAGGCAGCAGUAGGGAAUAUUGGGCAAUGGGCGGAAGCCUGACCCAGCCAUGCCGCGUGAAGGAAGACGGCCUUAUGGGUUGUAAACUUCUUUACUAUGCGACUAACUAGAUUUACGAGAUAAUUCUAUAGAAUGUAGCAUAGCAAAAGCACCGGCUAACUCCGUG